rnacentral:rRNA from 1 species
ACGCUGGCGGCGUGCCUCAUACAUGCUAGUAGAACGCUGAAGGAGGGAGCUUGCUUCUCUGGAUGAGUUGCGAACGGGUGAGUACGCGUAGGUAACCUGCCUGGUAGCGGGGGAUAACUAUUGGAAACGAUAGCUAAUACCGCAUAAGAGUAGAUGUUGCAUGACAUUUGCUUAAAAGGUGCAAUUGCAUCACUACCAGAUGGACCUGCGUUGUAUUAGCUAGUUGGUGAGGUAACGGCUCACCAAGGCGACGAUACAUAGCCGACCUGAGAGGGUGAUCGGCCACACUGGGACUGAGACACGGCCCAGACUCCUACGGGAGGCAGCAGUAGGGAAUCUUCGGCAAUGGACGGAAGUCUGACCGAGCAACGCCGCGUGAGUGAAGAAGGUUUUCGAUCGUAAAGCUCUGUUGUAAGAGAAGAACGAGUGUGAGAGUGGAAAGUUGCACACUCUAGACGGUAUCUUAUCCAGAAGA